UGGGGAAUCUUGGACAAUGGGGGCAACCCUGAUCCAGCCAUGCCGCGUGGGUGAUGAAGGCCUUAGGGUCGUAAAGCCCUUUCGCUGGGGAAGACAAUGACGGUACCCAGAGAAGAAGCCCCGGCUAACUCCGUGCCAGCAGCCGCGGUCAUACGGAGGGGGCUAGCGUUGUUCGGAAUGACUGGGCGUAAAGCGCGCGUAGGCGGAUCAUCAAGUCGGGGGUGAAAUCCCGGGGCUCAACCCCGGAACGGCCUUCGAGACUGGUGGUCUUGAGUUCGAGAGAGGUGGGUGGAAUUCCGAGUGUAGAGGUGAAAUUCGUAGAUAUUCGGAGGAACACCAGUGGCGAAGGCGGCCCACUGGCUCGACACUGACGCUGAGGCGCGAAAGCGUGGGGAGCAAA
rnacentral:rRNA from 1 species